rnacentral:rRNA from 1 species
ACUUACUUGGAGUCCGAACUCUCACUUUCUAACCCUGUGCAUUUGUUUGGGAUAGUAACUCUCGCAAGAGGGCGAACUCCUAUUCACUUAUAAACACAAAGUCUAUGAAUGUAUUAAAUUUUAUAACAAAAUAAAACUUUCAACAACGGAUCUCUUGGCUCUCGCAUCGAUGAAGAACGCAGCGAAAUGCGAUAAGUAAUGUGAAUUGCAGAAUUCAGUGAAUCAUCGAAUCUUUGAACGCACCUUGCGCUCCAUGGUAUUCCGUGGAGCAUGCCUGUUUGAGUGUCAUGAAUACUUCAACCCUCCUCUUUCUUAAUGAUUGAAGAGGUGUUUGGUUUCUGAGCGCUGCUGGCCUUUAGGGUCUAGCUCGUUCGUAAUGCAUUAGCAUCCGCAAUCGAACUUUGGAUUGACUUGGCGUAAUAGACUAUUCGCUGAGGAAUUCUAGUCUUCGGACUAGAGCCGGGUUGGGUUAAAGGAAGCUUCUAAUCAGAAUGUCUACAUUUUAAGAUUAGAUCUCAAAUCAGGUAGGACUACCCGCUGAACUUAAGCAUAUCAA